UCCAUUGGAAAGCCAAUACUAUUAAAAGGGGGUGAGGUAGUUAUUGUUAGAAAUUAAUUAGUACAUUAAUCCAAGGGAUGUGUCCAACCCCGAACAGUCGUGUCUCCUCUCUCUCUCCAUUGCCAAGAGGCACCUGUACUGGAGGGAUGCCUCCGAACAGACACCUCUUCUUCGCACCUCUUCCAGAUGUACAUAUAUACUUGAGAAUCAAUAGAAACAAGACUAAUCGUCCAUUCACUUUCAUUCAAUCUCGUUUUUACUCUAACACAUUAUCAGCACGCUCUACCGAGAACAAACGAGAAGACAAGGACACUCUGGCGAUCUCCAAGUACGGCCACCACGCACAUCGUGGAAGAAACGGCGCGUGCAAUUCCUCCCCAAUUGCUGGAGAAAUCCGCUUCCACACGCCGCUCCCUGGAAAAGAUGAUGCUCAUCCGUUUUUCUCUUGCCUGCCAUGCACUCACGUGAAUCACGUCCGAGCGUUUUGGCCACAUGAGAAGAAAGCAUCUCUUCUGCGGACCGUCUUCAACCAUCACCAAGGGAGCAACUCCGACGGUCUUCAACCCCGACGAACUCAACGAAGAAGACCGGCAGCGUCGCGUCGCUCAGGCCGUUGGUCGUGGCUGCGCCAGCGCCAGUCCACGCCCGCCCACGCCAGCGCGAGCCCACCUCUAGCUAUGGUUGCGCCCGCCAGCGAUGCGACUGGCAGCGCCAUGCCAUGGCCCCACGCGCCCGCGCCACGCCGCCAGGAGGACGCCGAGAAGCGCGACGAGGCUGCUGCCCGCAAGGCCGAGAACCAUCGUCGUCGCCUCGGUCGUCUCCAAGACGGAUGCCCGCAAGGCCAGCCGCGUCGGCGCCCCAGCCCCCAAGGUCACCGAGAUCGACCUCGUGCGCCGCCGCGAAGAGGAGCGUCUGCGCCUCAAGCGCAAAGCCGAGGCUGCCAAGAAGCGUGCCGUGAGCACAGCACGGGAGAAAGAUUUUGGCAGGAGACCUUAUCCAUUCGGUGUUUUGUUGAUUUUGCCCCUUGAGUUUCUAAGAACUGAGUAUUGGUCUUUCGUUUGCACCAUAGACCUUAUAAGUUAUAAAAUUAUCUGAUGUACAUAAUCAGAUUCGUUAAAUUUGUAUUAUAACCCUCAGGUUAUACAGAAGUUGUGCAAACACAUAUUUCCAACAGUACAUAAGUACACAACAGACCGUCGGUUCAUUAUAAAUUACAUACAACACAAUUAUACACCAUUUUGCGAUGGGUGAAAUUGUCAUUUGAAGACCUCAUGUCUUUGUAUAUUUGCAUAAGUAUGUAAAUUAACUUUUCC
rnacentral:lncRNA from 1 species